GACAGAGGUCCCGAGCGUUAGGCGGAAUCACUGGGCUUAAAGCGUGUGUAGGCGGAUCGUUAAGUACCUUGUGAAAUCCCACGGCUCAACCGUGGAACUGCUGGGUAUACUGGCGGUCUUGGGCCAUCUAGGGGCUACCGGAACAAGUGGUGGAGCGGUGAAAUGCGUAGAUAUCACUUGGAACGCCAAUGGUGAAAACAGGUAGCUGGGGAUGUGCCGACGCUGAGACACGAAAGCCAGGGGAGCGAACGGG
rnacentral:rRNA from 1 species